rfam:Vibrio sp. MEBiC08052 genomic scaffold scaffold00001, whole genome shotgun sequence.
AAUUAUGGUGGGCUGGAUAGGGGCGCUUUGGCGCACCGUUUCUUGUGAGCGGUAGUUCCUAAACCUGUUCAGUUCACCACUCAA